UACGAAGGGGGCUAGCGUUGCUCGGAAUCACUGGGCGUAAAGCGCACGUAGGCGGACUUUUAAGUCAGGGGUGAAAUCCUGGAGCUCAACUCCAGAACUGCCUUUGAUACUGGAAGUCUUGAGUUCGAGAGAGGUGAGUGGAACUGCGAGUGUAGAGGUGAAAUUCGUAGAUAUUCGCAAGAACACCAGUGGCGAAGGCGGCUCACUGGCUCGAUACUGACGCUGAGGUGCGAAGGCGUGGGGAGCAAACAGG
rnacentral:rRNA from 1 species